ACCUGAAAGAGGAAUGAGGUUUUGCUUGAUGCCAA
rnacentral:sRNA from 1 species